rnacentral:rRNA from 1 species
GACGAACGCUGGCGGCGUGCUUAACACAUGCAAGUCGAGCGGUAAGGCCCUUUCGGGGGUACACGAGCGGCGAACGGGUGAGUAACACGUGGGUGACCUGCCCUCAGCUCUGGGAUAAGCCUGGGAAACCGGGUCUAAUACCGGAUAUGACUCCAUGACGCAUGUUGUGGGGUGAAAGCCUUGUGCGGCUGAGGAUGGGCCCGCGGCCUAUCAGCUUGUUGGUGGGGUGAUGGCCUACCAAGGCGACGACGGGUAGCCGGCCUGAGAGGGCGACCGGCCACACUGGGACUGAGACACGGCCCAGACUCCUACGGGAGGCAGCAGUGGGGAAUCUUGCGCAAUGGGCGAAAGCCUGACGCAGCGACGCCGCGUGAGGGAUGACGGCCUGU